rnacentral:rRNA from 1 species
GACAGAGGCCCCAAGCGUUAGUCGGAAUUACUGGGCUUAAAGGGUGCGUAGGCGGGCGCGUAAGUGUUCUGUGAAAUCCCCGGGCUCAACCCGGGAACCGCAGGGCAUACUGCGCGUCUCGAGGAAGCUAGAGGCCGGUGGAACGAUCGGUGGAGCGGUGGAAUGCGUAGAGAUCGAUCGGAACGCCAAGGGUGAAGACAACCGGCUGGGGCCUUCCUGACGCUGAGGCACGAAAGCGCGGGGAUCAAACAGG